UGGGGAAUAUUGCACAAUGGAGGGAACUCUGAUGCAGCGACGCCGCGUGAGUGAUGAAGGACUUCGUUUCGUAAAACUCUGUUCUAUGGGAAGAAAAGGACUGUACCAUAGGAGAAAGCUCCGGCUAAAUACGUGCCAGCAACCGCGGUAAUACGUAUGGAGCGAGCGUUGUCCGGAAUUAUUGGGCGUAAAGGGUGCGCAGGCGGCUUUACAAGUUGGAUGUGAAAUAUUGUGGCUCAACCACAAACGUGCAUCCAAAACUGCAAAGCUUGAGUUAAGGAGAGGUAAGUGGAAUUCCUGGUGUAGCGGUGGAAUGCAUAGAUAUCAGGAGGAAUACCGGUGGCGAAGGCGAAUUACUGGACUUAAACUGACGCUCAGGCACGAAAGCGUGGGGAGCAAACAGG
rnacentral:rRNA from 1 species